rnacentral:rRNA from 1 species
CCCUAUGAGUAGUUUAAAUGGCCGCAGUAUUUUGACUGUGCAAAGGUAGCAUAAUCACUUGUUUUUUAAUUAAAAGCUGGAAUGAAAGGGGCGACGAAAUCUAAACUAUUAACAGUAAGAGUAAAAAUUGACAUAAAGGUCAAAAUGCCUUUAUAGACCAGUGGGACGAUAAGACCCUGUAAAACUUUACUUUUAAUUUGUGGCCCAAUGGGAGGGUCUUUUCAUAGAGUUAAACUGGGGCGGUAGUAAUAAAAACAAUUAUAUCAACGAUAUAAUAUAUAGAAUCAAGGAACUCUGGAAAGAAAUAAAGCAAGUUACUUCAGGGAUAACAGCAUAAUCCCAUCAGAUAGUACUAAUUGACGAGGGGGCUUAUGACCUCGAUGUUGAAUUGGGAACCCACAGAUAAGCAGAAAUAUCUUUAGGUAGUCUGUUCGACUAUUAAACUCCC